UUUCCUUGAUGACGACUGGCGCACGGGUGAGUAACGCGUAUCCAACCUUCCCAUAACUACGGGAUAACCCGUUGAAAGACGGCCUAAUACCGUAUGAUAUCGUUUGCUGACAUCAAAUAACGAUUAAAGGUUUAGCGGUUAUGGAUGGGGAUGCGUCUGAUUAGCUUGUUGGCGGGGUAACGGCCCACCAAGGCGACGAUCAGUAGGGGUUCUGAGAGGAAGGUCCCCCACAUUGGAACUGAGACACGGUCCAAACUCCUACGGGAGGCAGCAUG
rnacentral:rRNA from 1 species